rnacentral:rRNA from 1 species
AAUGAACGCUGGCGGCAUGCCUAACACAUGCAAGUCGAACGAAGGCUUCGGCCUUAGUGGCGCACGGGUGCGUAACGCGUGGGAAUCUGCCCUCAGGUUCGGAAUAACAGCGAGAAAUUGCUGCUAAUACCGGAUGAUAUCGCGAGAUCAGAGAUUUAUCGCCUGAGGAUGAGCCCGCGUAGGAUUAGCUAGUUGGUGUGGUAAAGGCGCAACAAGGCGACGAUCCUUAGCUGGUCUGGGAGGAUGAACAGCCACACUGGGACUGAGACACGGCCCAGACUCCUACGGGAGGCAGCAGUGGGGAAUAUUGGACAAUGGGCGAAAGCCUGAUCCAGCAAUGCCGCGUGAGUGAUGAAGGCCUUAGGGUUGUAAAGCUCUUUUACCCGGGAUGAUAAUGACAGUACCGGGAGAAUAAGCUCCGGCUAACUCCGUGCCAGCCGCCGCCGUAA